rnacentral:rRNA from 1 species
GACGAACCGUGCGAACGUUGUUCGGAAUCACUGGGCUUAAAGGGCGCGUAGGCGGGCUUGCAAGUCUGCGGUGAAAGCCUCCAGCUUAACUGGAGAAGUGCCGUGGAUACUGCGAGCCUCGAGGAGGGUAGGGGCGUCUGGAACGUUGGGUGGAGCGGUGAAAUGCGUAGAUAUCGGAAGGAACGCCGGUGGCGAAAGCGACGUGCUGGACCUCUUCUGACGCUGAGGCGCGAAAGCUAGGGGAGCAAACGGG